rnacentral:rRNA from 1 species
GGAUAGCGGAGAAAUUCCAAUCGAACUCGGAGAUAGCUGGUUCUCCUCGAAAUAGCUUUAGGGCUAGCGUGAGGUGAUAUGAGUACUGGAGGUAGAGCACUGAAUGGGCUAGGGGGUAUAGCACUUACCGAACCUUAUCAAACUCCGAAUGCCAGAUACUUUUAGCCUUGCAGUCAGACUGCGAAUGAUAAGGUCCGUAGUCAAAAGGGAAACAGCCCAGAUCGUCAGCUAAGGUCCCAAAGUGUAAGUUAAGUGGAAAAGGAUGUGGGAUUUCUAAGACAACUAGGAUGUUGGCUUAGAAGCAGCCACUCAUUAAAAGAGUGCGUAAUAGCUCACUAGUCGAGAGAUCCUGCGCCGAAGAUGUCCGGGGCUAAAACUUACCACCGAAGCUACGGGAUUGCAAUAGCAAUCGGUAGAGGAGCGUCGUAAUCGGGCUGAAGUCGUACCGUAAGGAGCGGUGGACUGAUUACGAGUGAGAAUGUUGGCAUUAGUAGCGAGAUGUAGGUGAGAAUCCUACAGGCCGAAUAUCUAAGGUUUCCUCAGGAAGGCUCGUCCGCUGAGGGUUAGUCGGGACCUAAGCCGAGGCCGAAAGGCGUAGGCGAUGGACAACAGGUUGAUAUUCCUGUACCACUACCAUCGUUAUUAUCGAGGGUGUGACGGAGAAGGAUAGUGUGUGCUAGCGAUUGGAAAUGCUAGUCUAAGCGUUUAGGCAGUUACGGUAGGCAAAUCCGCUGUAACGUUAAUGCUGAGGCGUGAUGGGGAAGGCCCUUGAGGCUGAAGUACAUGAUUCCAUGCUUCCAAGAAAAGCAUCUAGAGAGAGAAGUAGUGCCCGUACCGCAAACCGACACAGGUAGAUGAGGAGAGAAUCCUAAGGCCGGCGGAAGAAUUGCAGUUAAGGAACUAGGCAAAUUGACCCCGUAAGUUAGCGAGAAGGGGUGCCUACGAGAGUAGGCCGCAGAGAAUAGGCCCAAGCAACUGUUUAGCAAAAACACAGGUCUCUGCUAAAGCGAAAGCUGAUGUAUAGGGGCUGACGCCUGCCCGGUGCUGGAAGGUUAAGGGGAACACUUAGCGCAAGCGAAGGUGUGAACUUAAGCCCCAGUAAACGGCGGCCGUAACUAUAACGGUCCUAAGGUAGCGAAAUUCCUUGUCAGGUAAGUUCUGACCCGCACGAAUGGCGUAAUGAUUUGGGCACUGUCUCAACUGUGAAUCCGGCGAAGUUGUAGUGCGAGUGAAGAUGCUCGCUACCCGCGAUUGGACGGAAAGACCCCGUAGAGCUUUACUGUAGCUUAGCAUUGAAUUUCGGUAUUGUCUGUACAGGAUAGGUGGGAGACUAGGAAACCAGAGCGUCAGCUUUGGCGGAGUCACCCUUGGGAUACCACCCUGAUAGUACUGAGGUUCUAACUGGAUGCCAUGAAUCUGGUGACAGGACAUUGUUAGGUGGGCAGUUUGACUGGGGCGGUCGCCUCCGAAAGUGUAACGGAGGCGCCCAAAGGUUCCCUCAGAACGGUCGGAAAUCGUUCGAAGAGUGCAAAGGCAGAAGGGAGCCUGACUGCGACACCCACAAGUGGAGCAGGGACGAAAGUCGGGCUUAGUGAUCCGGUGGUACCUCGUGGGAGGGCCAUCGCUCAACGGAUAAAAGCUACCUCGGGGAUAACAGGCUGAUCUCCCCCAAGAGUCCACAUCGACGGGGAGGUUUGGCACCUCGAUGUCGGCUCAUCGCAUCCUGGGGCUGUAUUCGGUCCCAAGGGUUUGGCUGUUCGCCAAUUAAAGCGGCACGCGAGCUGGGUUCAGAACGUCGUGAGACAGUUCGGUCCCUAUCCGUCGCGGGCGUAGGAAAUUUGAGAGGAUCUGCUCCUAGUACGAGAGGACCAGAGUGGACUUACCGCUGGUGUACCAGUUGUUCUGCCAAGAGCAUCGCUGGGUAGCUAUGUAGGGAAGGGAUAAACGCUGAAAGCAUCUAAGUGUGAAGCCCACCUCAAGAUGAGAUUUCCCAUGAUUUUAUAUCAGUAAGAGCCCUGAGAGAUGAUCAGGUUGAUAGGUUAGAAGUGGAAGUGUGGUGACACAUGUAGCGGACUAAUACUAAUAGCUCGAGGACUUAUCCAA